UACGUAGGGGGCAAGCGUUGUCCGGAUUUAUUGGGCGUAAAGCGCGUGUAGGUGGCCAAGUAGGUCCGCUGUGAAAACUUGAGGCUCAACCUCAAGCUGUCGGUGGAAACCCCUUGGCUAGAGUCCGGAAGAGGAGAGUGGAAUUCCUGGUGUAGCGGUGAAAUGCGCAGAUAUCAGGAAGAACACCAAUGGCGAAGGCAGCUCUCUGGGACGGUACUGACAUUGAGACGCGAAAGCGUGGGGAGCGAACAGG
rnacentral:rRNA from 1 species